rnacentral:snRNA from 1 species
GUGUUCAUUUGCCAGCACAUAUGCUAAACUUGGAAUGAUGCAGUAAAGAUUAGCAUGACCACUGUACAAGGAUGACACAUAAAUUCAUGAAGCACUCCAUACUUUU